UGGACUCGCGCUAUAAACAAAGGUGAUCCAAAUGUUUCUGGUUAGAAAUAAGAUUAUACACACUGGUGAAAGAAUAUGACAGCGAGAUAGGACUAUGAUAGACUGAAGAUACACAGGCCAUUAGAUACACCUCCAUAGUUGAUUCAAUAUCUCUUUCUCAACAUGUCAAGGGAAAAUUCAGACAGCCGAGAAGGCUCUAUGAGCACCUCCGACAGUGACGGGCAACGAGAGAAUAAAUUGUCACCUGCUUUCCAAGAACACUUACGCGAGGUGGCAGAGAGACUGCGUACAAUAGGAGAUGACCUGGAUAAAGAGAUGACACUGUCUCAUAAAAUUCGAUGGACAAAUUUCUUCGCUGACUGGCGUUGUAUUUUUUACCUCGAGGACAAGACUGUGUUGUUCAAGCACAUAUUACGGGUGUAUAUUCAAUUUAUGUUCAGAUGAUGUAAUCCCAUUGGAAUUCAGGUUAACUCUAAUUGGGGACAUGGGGUCAGGCUGCGAGUUGGCACACUGUCAACAGGACACUUCUACAACUAAUCUAACAUGACAAUUGACAAUCAGUGCUGCAAUAAAAUCCCGAGGGAAAAAAACGUACUGCAAGUGGUGUGGUGAAAAAAGAAAUUAGUGCUACGCUGUCUCUCCAAGUCAAAGGAUCUGACAGUCCGGUCACGACAUUAAAACCAAUUCGCAAUUCACCUGUUGGAAUAAUAGUGUUGUCGUUUGGCAAACAGCCCAUUUUGUCAAGAGGCUCGUUUUGAUAAACUUUCUAUCGAGGAGGUGCGUUCAUUUCCCAGGGCCGCAAGACUGUCAAAAUAGUCCUUGUUGAACUUGACAGUAUUUUCACAAUGAUCUCGAAUAGCAUGAUAUAUAUUGCUAUUCAUUAUUCGUUUGGUCUCACUGGAUGAAGACAGUAUAUAAGAACUGAAUUUUAUACGUAAACUUUUGUUUGGUGCAGCCCAAAGUUCAUUUAUUGUGUAAUAUUUACUUUAGAAGCCAGUGCAGGCGGAACUAGGUCGAACUUGGUUUACCUGCGUUUUGUUUUGUAAAGUCGCUUUCGCAACUUAACGAACCCACAUGGGCAUGUAAAUAGCUAUACAGUCUAGUCUAGUCUAUGGCAUCACUUUUCAUGUCGUAGCAUUUAUUCGUUGUACAAAGUAUAAAAUAAUUUCUUGUCAGAAUUAUGAUUCUUUUUAUGUUAAACUGUUAUCAGAAAAAUGAAAAUUGUUUAUAGAUUCACGCGAUCUCAUUUUUUACGAAACUGAAAAUUGGUGCAAUAUUUAUUUUCACUGUAAAAGAAUUUAAAUAUAUUAUUAAAGUGACUUUUGUUUAA